ensembl:snoRNA
GGAUUUAUAAUGAUCUGUGUUUACUGAGCAUGAUGAAGUAAAGUUCAACAUGAUUACUCUGAAGUCU